rnacentral:rRNA from 1 species
AAAUUGAAGAGUUUGAUCAUGGCUCAGAUUGAACGCUGGCGGCAGGCCUAACACAUGCAAGUCGAACGGUAACAGGAAGAAGCUUGCUUCUUUGCUGACGAGUGGCGGACGGGUGAGUAAUGUCUGGGAAACUGCCUGAUGGAGGGGGAUAACUACUGGAAACGGUAGCUAAUACCGCAUAACGUCGCAAGACCAAAGAGGGGGACCUUCGGGCCUCUUGCCAUCGGAUGUGCCCAGAUGGGAUUAGCUAGUAGGUGGGGUAACGGCUCACCUAGGCGACG